UUUUUAGUAUAAGUAUGUUUUAUGUAAUAUUUGAGGCAUAUUUAUACUAAAA
rfam:Tupaia chinensis contig228315, whole genome shotgun sequence.